GCGGCGGACGGGUGAGUAAUGCCUAGGAAUCUGCCUGGUAGUGGGGGACAACGUUUCGAAAGGAACGCUAAUACCGCAUACGUCCUACGGGAGAAAGCAGGGGACCUUCGGGCCUUGCGCUAUCAGAUGAGCCUAGGUCGGAUUAGCUAGUUGGUGGGGUAAAGGCUCACCAAGGCGACGAUCCGUAACUGGUCUGAGAGGAUGAUCAGUCACACUGGAACUGAGACACGGUCCAGACUCCUACGGGAGGCAGCAGUGGGGAAUAUUGGACAAUGGGCGAAAGCCUGAUCCAGCCAUGCCGCGUGUGUGAAGAAGG
rnacentral:rRNA from 1 species